rnacentral:snRNA from 1 species
AUAUUAGGCUUUUAUUAUAUAGGAUAGAUUUUUUUUAAGCUAGGAAUUGGAAUAGGAGCUUGCUCCAUCCUUUCCAUACAUCGACCUGGUAUUGCAGUACUUCUGGGGAUGGUGUACCAGUA